CAGCUUAUUUUUGGCGUGGAUUUAGAAUAGGAGGCAUAUGCAUGCAGAAUAGGAGCAAAAACAAGAGAAAGAAGUAGAACAUUUGGAUGAUAUCUGCAGCAGCAACUUAGUUCACAUGUAUUGCCUUAUCUAAAUCCCUGCACAAAGAGAAGCUCUCCGAAUAGAUGCUACUGAAGAAGACUUUUUCAAGUCAAGACACGUCUGUCAAAUUAUUUGAGAUUUGUGGUCUAUUUUAUCUUCGCAUUUUUUACUUCUGUAUUAGAAUACCCUUGUAAUUUACUGCUGUGUUGUCAUUGGGAGUGCAUGUACAUCUUGUCAGCACAGCAAGCAAUUUACAUCACAAUUUGUGGGAGUAAAUUGCAUGCACAUUAGAAUUUAGUCAUUAUUUGCAUGCUAUUGGCUAUCAGCCAUAGCCUACAUUAUGAUUUUCCACUAUUUAUUUCUGCAUAAUUUUCAGUAAUACAUCAUGUUUUGAUUAGACCUUGACUUCAUAUGUUCAUUUGUAUUUGGUUAUUGGUCAGGGAAUAGGUUCUCCACGUUAUAUUUUUGUUCACUUCAUAUUUUGGACCUGCAACUCACCUGAGCCAAAAAGAGAGAAAAUUCUUUGGACAAAUAUGAACAUACAUCUUUGAGCUUGUUGAAGGGGGAGGGAACAAGCCCCAAAGCUGCUUAUGACCCUGUCAUAGUUCUGUUAAGAAGCUCAUCUGUAGAAAAAGCUGAGGACACAUGGAUUUGGAGCGGUGUGGCUAUGCAUUCCUCAGCCAAAGGUAGCAUUACCUAAAGCAGCUAUCUAAGCCAAACAGAAUUCUGCUCCAUUGUUUUAAGGACAGGCCACACCAUGCUUACCAUUUCACAUUUUGGAAUUUGGGGGUUCUGAUUUUUUAAGACAAAAUUUUGUCUUAAAAGUCUUUUAAGUUGAGACCUAUCCCAGCCUGCGUCUGUGUUGUUUCUUUAACCCUUUUUUUAAAGAUGUCUUUAAAGCUUUUUU